rnacentral:sRNA from 1 species
UUCUUUCUCUCCAACACAGUGUUGGGGGCUAUAACCCAAUAAACUAGGCAAACAAAACAAAACAAACAAAACCACCAACAGUGGUGGAUGUAGCUCAGCUUAUGGAGAAGAAAUGAUGUCAGAAUGACAGAAGCAAUGUGAGGAGACUCAUCGAGAGAAGGCAGCUUCAGCUCCAGGCUGAGGGCUGAGCCGUGGUCACCCUGUUGGGAGAGGGCUAUGAAAGCAUGGGAGGGUAGCAAAACACAUCUGGGAACACGACUUUGAUGAGGAAGGGACAUGAAGGAUCAAGGCAGGGGCCAGUUCUCCAGGGUCUAUAAGGCCGAGUGCAGGGCAAGGGUCAUAUUUACAGGUCCAGGCCAGUGGCUCAUCAAGAAUUGCCAGGAGUUGGAGAGUGUCAAGUCGCAUGCUUUUGUGCACUCAGGAUGUCCACUCAGGGUAUGCUGUGACUUGUGUGUUCUGGUCUAGGUGUCUCCACUGCCUGCUUGGACAUCUCUAAAUCAUGACAGGAACCAGUGGGAACUAGCCUUUCUUUUAGUGUAUUUAUUUAUUCUUCCUCCUGUUUGCCCACCUGUUAAGUUAACAGGACACAGCUGGGUCUGGAUGGUGCUUGCACAUCCUGGAUAGGUGUUCUAGAACCAUCCUGACUGGCAUCCUUUGCUUCUUUUUGCCAUUCUGCUUAUUACCAGGGCUUCUGUGUCUCGUGGGGUCCGGGUGAGACUGUGAGGAGUUUCUAGGGAGGGCUGUGGCUGGAGUACUUUGAUCAGCCAAGCUGGAGGGUCUCUCAGACUCAGUUUCCUUAGGGUAAGUGGGAAGACUGGCGCUCUCCCAGAGAGUAGACCAAGCACAGUCCCAGAGGCUGCUCUCAGAGGAUCAGAAUAGUUCUUUCUUUAGAAAAAAAAACAGCCUUUGUAGGUCCUGACGAAGGCAUCAGAAGACCCAGUUAAUGGUUCUCUACCCCAUAAAGUCCUUCUGGUGAAAUACAGAGAACACUGGGUCACUUCUUAGCUUGCUUUUCAGGAGUGGGAGGGUAGCCAUGGUGUGAAGAGGCCCGGGUUAAUGAAAAAGCAAAGGUAUUUGUCCGUGCUUGGAAUAAUGUUUGCUUUGGAUUGGCAGAAACAGACUUGGAGAGAAGUUUACGACUUGAUUUUGUGUUUACUAGUUGUGUUGCUUUGGGAAUGGCAAGUCACCUGCCUUACUUUGUUUUUAUUUGACAGUGAGAAGUAAUCAUUUUUUCUGCUUCAAGGUUAAUGUGAGGAAUAUAUAUGCUGAUAUUGUGCACCCCUUCCUUCACCCAUUUCCAGGAACUGAAGACAAUAUGGAACCUUGUUUUCUGACCAUGAGAAUAGCAGUCGCUAACCCAGUGGGCUGCAUGUCAACAUGCCAUGCGGUGUGGGUGGGGGAAGACUCCCAGAGGUCUGCCAGCUUUGUGGCCAGCCUACAAUGGGAGCCACUAUGAUGUGCAGGAACCCAGAAACCUGAAAUGCUCCCAACUGGCUGGAAAUCUCAGCUUCCUGUGGUGCUCUGACACUCUCCUGUAUAGAAUUUCAACAUCUUCUGAGAUUUGAAGACACUUGAUGGAAAAUGUUGUAGAGAGUUCACACCAUCCAUAGUCAUUGUACUGGGAGAGAGAAGGAAGCAAAUGGGCAGGAACAUUGAUUACGGGCUUCCGCAUGGUUUCCAGUGACAGCACAGACCACAAACAUGCCAUCCAGCUACAGAAGAAACAAAGACCCAGACAAGGCCCUCAGAGGCAGCCUGGACCACUAGCAUCAACAUGGCCUCAGGUGACAGUGUAGCGCACUCACCUCAAUAUGAUCCCUGGUAGCAACACUGCUCAUAGAUAACAUGGCCCCAGGAUGCAGCAUAGAGAAAUCUGAGACCUGGGACCCAGACAUGGCCCUUGGCAGCAGCAUGAUCUGGACAUCACCAUGGCCCCAGGUGUCAGUGCAGACCACCGAUACCAAAAUGGCCCCUGGUGGUAGCAUGGCCAUGGACAUAAAUACAUCAUCAGGUUGUAGCACGGAGCAUGCACAUCCUUAUAGCCUUGGAUGGUAACACAGACCACAGACCAACAUGGCCUUGGUCAUAUCAGGACUCACUCAUGGCACUUAGCAGUAGUACAAACCUUAUGCCUCAACAUGGCCUUAGGUGGCUACACAAGCCAUUCACAUCAACACUUCUCUCUUCAAAUGGGCUUCAAUUAGCAGCAGACUGCAUAUGUUCACAUGGAUUAUCUUUAUAGAUCUGGGGGAGAAGUUUUAUUUUGUUCAUUUAUUUGUUUUUUUUUUGUGUGUGUUUGUUUUUUUGUUUUUGUUUUUGUUUUUCAAGACAGAGUUUCUCAGUCCUAGCUGUCUUUGUAUUCACUUUGUAGACAAGGCUAACCUUUAGGGACCCUGUUAAUCAUCUGAUGUAUUUGAAACCAUAUUAUGAUGGUUAGUUUUAAUUUUCAAGUGUACACAGCCUAGAAUUACCUAGGAAAAUUGUCUAAAUGAGGAGUUUAAUUUGGGUUGGCCUAUGGGCAUGUGUGUAGAAUAUUGUCUUAAUUAAGAUAAUUUUAUGAGAAGGCCCAAUGCAGUAUGGGGGGCUCCAUUGCCUAAACAAGGGUCUUGGUCUGUAUAAGAGUAGAAAAAUCCAAGUCAGCAAACUUGUACACCAAUACUUCUGCAGCUUUUGACUGUGAAUGUGAUGAGACCAGCUCUUUGAAGUUCCUUCCUUGAUUUCCCCAUGAUGAUAGACUGUAAUCUGAAAACAUAAGCUAAAUAAACCCUUUUCUCCAUAUU